rnacentral:rRNA from 1 species
CGGUCUUCGGAUUGUAAACUCCUGUCAUCAGGGAGUAAGACCUGGAGGUUAAUAGCCUACAGGGUUGAUAGUACCUGAAGAGGAAGGGACGGCUAACUUCGUGCCAGCAGCCGCGGUAAUACGAAGGUCCCAAGCGUUGUUCGGAUUCACUGGGCGUAAAGGGAGCGUAGGCUGUGCGGUAAGUCAGAUGUGAAAUCCCGGGGCUCAACCCCGGAACUGCAUCCGAUACUGCCGUACUAGAGUAUUGGAGAGGUAACAGGAAUUCACGGUGUAGCAGUGAAAUGCGUAGAUAUCGUGAGGAAGACCAAUGGCGAAAGCAUGUUACUGGACAAUUACUGACGCUGAGGCUCGAAGGCUAGGGUAGCGAAAGGGAUUAGAUACCCCUGUAGUCCUAGCAGUAAACGGUGCGCGCUUGGUGUGAGGGGAUUCGACCCCCCUUGUGCCGGAGCUAACGCGUUAAGCGCGCCGCCUGGGAAGUACGGUCGCAAGACUAAAACUCAAARAAAUUGACGGGGACCCGCACAAGCGGUGGAGUAUGUGGCUUWAUUCGAUGCAACGCGAAGAACCUUACCAAGGCUUGACAUGCAUCUCUAAUCUCGUGAAAKCGAGUGACCCUUCGGGGAAUUUGCKCAGGUGCUGCMUGGCYGUCGUCAGCUCGUGUCKUGAGAUGUUGGGUWAARYCCCCSCAACRSGCGCMACCYCUGUKAUYWGUUGYCAGYR